CGUAGAUGUAGUACUAACCACAAGCACUCACCAAACACUUUAAUUUGGCAAUCAGUGGGUGCAUGGUCCAAAUGUUGUAUCACUGAGCAGCAGCAAAUUUUGUUUUUUUCCAACUUUGUCCACUUCAUUUAUGCGUAUUAUUAACCCCAAAUUCUUCAACUUCUUCACACUGUUCUAUAAAUAAUUUAUGCCUGAUAAAUUAGCAUGGGCAGUUUAUUCAGUUAUUGUAUCUUUGUGUAAUACUUACAGUAUCUCACAAAAGUGAGUACACCCCUGACAUGUUUGUAAAUAUGUUAUUAUAUCUUUUCAUGUGACAACACAGAAGAAAUUACACUCUGCUACAAUGUAAAGCAGUAAGUGUUCAGCCUGUAUAACAGUGUAAAUUUGCUGUCCCC